UUUCCGUAGGUGAACCUGCGGAAGGAUCAUUCAUAAUAAGUGUUUUAUGGCACUUUUUUAAAUCCAUAUCCACCUUGUGUGCAAUGUCAGGGUUGGUCUCUUAUGAUCAGCCCCAAACAUCAACUAUUAUCUCAACUCUUUGUCUGGAAAAUAUUAUGAAUAAAACAAUUCAAAAUACAACUUUCAACAACGGAUCUCUUGGCUCUC
rnacentral:misc_RNA from 1 species